GAUGAAGAACGCAGCGAAAUGCGAUAAGUAAUGUGAAUUGCAGAAUUCAGUGAAUCAUCGAGUCUUUGAACGCACAUUGCGCCCCCUGGCAUUCCGGGGGGCAUGCCUGUUCGAGCGUCAUUACAACCCUCAAGCUCUGCUUGGUAUUGGGCUCUGCUGGGACCGGCAGGCCUUAAAAUCAGUGGCGGCGCCACUCGGCUUCAAGCGUAGUAAUUCUUCUCGCUUCGGAGACCCGGGUGCGUGCUAGCCAGCAACCCCCAACUUUCUUAGGUUGACCUCGGAUCAGGUAGGGAUACCCGCUGAACUUAAGCAUAUCAAUAAGCGGAGGA
rnacentral:misc_RNA from 1 species